rnacentral:lncRNA from 1 species
AUGUCACCACAGGUCACCACAGGUCACCGCGGUCACCAUGUCACCACAGGUCACCACGGGUCACCACGGGUCACCCCAGGUCACCACAGGUCACCACAAGUCACCACAGGUCACCACAAGUCACCACAGGUCACCACAAGUCACCGCGGGUCACCAUGUCACCACAGGUCACCACGGGUCACCGCAAGUCACCACAAGUCACCACAAGUCACCACAGGUUACCACAGGUCACCACGAGUCACCACGAGUCACCACGGGUCACCACGGGUCACCACAGGUCACCGCAGGUCACCGCGGGUCACCACAAGUCACCACAGGUCACCACAAGUCACCACAAGUCACCGCGGGUCACCACGGGUCACCACGGUCAACGCAAGUAACCACAGGUCACCACAGGUCACCGCGGGUCACCAUGUCACCCACAGGUCACCACAGGUCACCGCGAGUCACCACGAGUCACCACGGGUCACCACAGGUCACCGCAAGUCACCACAGGUCACCAUGUCACCACAAGUCACCACAGGUCACCCCAUGUCACCCCAGGUCACCACAAGUCACCACAGGUCACCACAAGUCACCCGGGUCACCAUGUCACCACAGGUCACCACAGGUCACCGCAAGUCACCACAAGUCACCACAAGUCACCACAGGUCACCACAGGUCACCGCGAGUCACCACGGGUCACCACGGGUCACCACGGGUCACCACAGGUCACCACAGGUCACCACGGGUCACCACAAGUCACCACAGGUCACCACAAGUCACCACAAGUCACCACAAGUCACCGCGGGUCACCACGGUCACCACGGGUCAACGCAAGUAACCACAGGUCACCACAGGUCACCGCGGGUCACCAUGUCACCACAGGUCACCACAGGUCACCGCGAGUCACCACGAGUCACCACGGGUCACCACAGGUCACCGCAAGUAACCACAGGUCACCAUGUCACCACAAGUCACCACAGGUCACCAUGUCACCACAAGUCACCACAGGUCACCAUGUCACCACAAGUCACCACAGGUCACACCAUGUCACCCCGGGUCACCACAGGUCACCACAGGUCACCAUGUCACCACAAGUCACCACAGUCACCAUGUCACCACAAGUCACCCCAGGUCACCCCAUGUCACCACAAGUCACCACAGGUCACCAUGUCACCACAAGUCACCACAGGUCACACCAUGUCACCCCGGGUCACCACAGGUCAGAGGUUACCGCCACGUGACUCCGCCCACCUUCCUCAGGAUGGUGUCGACGCUCCUCCUCAGAGGGUGGUUGUACUUGACGGCCUCGCUGACCUUCCUGACCUCCUGCAGAGACGCCGACAGCAUGAGGGCGCGGCCCCGACCGCGGAGCCCCAAGCCCCGCCCCCACGCACCUCCAUCACGUCCUCCAGGUUCUCCUCGGCGUCCGCCUUCUCCGUCAUCAGCUUGGCCGCCUUGAAGUAUGUUUUGGCGAGCAGGUGUCCGUGGCGGGACGCGUUCCAGUAG